rnacentral:tRNA from 1 species
GGGCCCGUAGCGCAGCCUGGAUAGCGCGGCAGCCUCCUAAGCUGUAGGUCGUGGGUUCGAAUCCCACCGGGCCCG